rnacentral:rRNA from 1 species
GCGGAUCUCGAAAGCCUGUCCCAGUUCGGCUGGAGUCUGCAACCCGACUCCACGAAGUUGGAUUCGCUAGUAAUCGCGCAUCAGCCAUGGCGCGGUGAAUACGUUCCCGGGCCUUGUACACACCGCCCGUCAAGCCAUGGGAGCCGGGGGCGCCUGAAGUCCGGGACCGCGAGGACCGGCCUAGGGCGAAACUGGUAACUGGGGCUAAGUCGUAACAAGGUAGC